rnacentral:lncRNA from 1 species
AGAGAUUAGGAAAUGUUAUUUUCUUUAUGAUGCAUUUUGAUUUACAACAAUUCUUCUAAUUUAUAGAUAGCUAGGGUUCUAUUUAUGGAAAUAUCCUAAAUUGAUAACAUUGAUUUUCCUAAUAUUUCUCGUGAUCAUUAAAAUAUCUCCCUGAUUUGAUUCAAUCUUCUAACACUUCCCCUCAAGAUGAGUAGUGGGGUCACCAAUACUCAACUUGCUGAGAACUUCGGCCAAAAUUCUGCCUGAGACAGCUUUCGUAAGGACACCUGCCAAUUGAUCUUCUGAUCUAACAAAAGGGAGUUCCACAGUCCCUUCUUCAAUUUUUUCUUUGAUAAAUUGCCG